rnacentral:lncRNA from 1 species
UUUCCUUUUCAGUAGCUGCAUUGUUGGAUUCCGUGGCAUUGUUGGAGAAGGUCAUCAAGAGGACACAUGAUCCACCAGUUGACUCAGGAGCUACACUUGGGCAUUCGGAGACUCCCCGCCCCCUCCCAUGUUCUUGGAAUGUGCAUUCUACCCACUGUUCCUCAUCUUUUGGUCACCCAAGAUAAGCCUUAUGAAGAGACAGAAGGAUUAAGGAUCUCAUUAAAGUUUUUGGAACUAAUAAGUGGCCAGCUGAAAUUUGAACCCAGGGAAUUUCACAAAACAAGCCUGACUUUCUUAACUGCUAGGCUGUACUAUACGAUUCUUAAUUUACCAUUACACUCUCUCCCUGUGUGAAGGACUGUGGACCAUGAACAAUUUGCCAUCUGAAUGGAUGUGAGGUGGAGGAAUGAUGACUCUUAAUGACCUUACUCAUAUAGAAGGUAUAAUAAAGGGGCAGAGACUGGAUAUUUGGGGAUGACCUUGGGAGGAGGAUGUUGAUGGAGAGCUGCUGAUAUGACCCCCACAGGGAGGACAAGUCAAAUAAAGCCUACGGAGAAGUAUAAGUUGUGUUUCCUCUGUUUUCUCAAGUCAAAGAAGAAUUCCCCCCACUCAGGUGUAAGGAGACCACUCGCAGAUCUAAUACGCACACCUGCAAUCUGGACUGGGGUGGUGUUGAUACCAUCUCAUGAUGGUAACAGUCAGGUUGGAACUUUCCUGCUCCUUUGCCUCCUCUCCUCCUCCUCACUGUAGCUCUGGAGGGGUUGGGAACUGCCAUAAGCAAGUUGUAGGUGGGAAUGGAAGCCUAGACUAGAAGAAGAAGAAGCAGUUGACCACAUCCCAUUAUCUGCUCGCUUUCCAUCUGCAAAUACACAUAAAGGAG